GGGAUUGCCUUAGUAACGGCGAGUGAAGCGGCAAAAGCUCAAAUUUGAAAUCUGGCACUUUCAGUGUCCGAGUUGUAAUUUGAAGAAGGUAACUUUGGAGUUGGCCCUUGUCUAUGUUCCUUGGAACAGGACGUCACAGAGGGUGAGAAUCCCGUGCGAUGAGGUGUCCAAUUCUAUGUAAAGUGCUUUCGAAGAGUCGAGUUGUUUGGGAAUGCAGCUCUAAGUGGGUGGUAAAUUCCAUCUAAAGCUAAAUAUUGGCGAGAGACCGAUAGCGAACAAGUACAGUGAUGGAAAGAUGAAAAGAACUUUGAAAAGAGAGUGAAAAAGUACGUGAAAUUGUUGAAAGGGAAGGGCUUGAGAUCAGACUCGGUAUUUUGCAAGCCUAUCCUUCGUGGAGAGGUUUAUUAGCAGCUUACCGGGCCAGCAUCGGUUUGGAUGGUAGGAUAAUGGCAUUGGAAUGUGGCUCCUCGGAGUGUUAUAGCCUUUGUUGAUACUGCCUAUCUAGACCGAGGACUGCGUCUUUGACUAGGAUGCUGGCGUAAUGAUCUUAAGCCGCCCGUCUUGAA
rnacentral:rRNA from 2 species